rfam:Eubacterium biforme DSM 3989 Scfld5 genomic scaffold, whole genome shotgun sequence.
AAAGAUAUACGGUAGGUGAGGUUACCGCAGGGAUUUGGAUUUCCUAAGAUUACUGCCGCAAAGUUGUGGAGACACGACUCGUUGGUCAGCAGGCAAAGUCGCAAAGGCUUGGCUUAAUGUAAUUUAUAUGCCCUGUGAUACUAAAGCUUGAACGGUGAUACUAGAUU